GGACCCCAGCUUAGGUGAGAACACCCGUUGAGUUUAAGCAUAUAAUUAAGUGGAGGAAAAGAAACUUACAAGGAUUCCCCUAGUAAUGGCGAGCGAACUGGGAAGAGCCCAACAUGAAAAUUGGGUGGCAGCGUCGCCUGAAUUGUAGUCUGUAGAAGCAUCCUUAGUAGUGGACUGG
rnacentral:ncRNA from 1 species